ACUACGGGAGGCAGCAGUGAGGAAUAUUGGUCAAUGGGCGGAAGCCUGAACCAGCCAAGUAGCGCGCAGGAUGACGGCCCUACGGGUUGUAAACUGCUUUUAUACGGGAAUAACGCGCCUUACGUGUAGGGCUUUGCAUGUACCGUAUGAAUAAGGACCGGCUAAUUCCGUGCCAGCAGCCGCGGUAAUACGGAAGGUCCGGGCGUUAUCCGGAUUUAUUGGGUUUAAAGGGAGCGUAGGCCGCAUGUCAAGCGUGCUGUGAAAUGUCCGGGCUCAACCCGGGCCUUGCAGCGCGAACUGGCGUGCUUGAGUCCGCGGAAAGCAGGCGGAAUUCGUCGUGUAGCGGUGAAAUGCUUAGAUAUGACGAAGAACCCCGAUUGCGAAGGCAGCUUGCUGCAGCGGAACUGACGCUGAUGCUCGAAAGCGCGGGUAUCGAACAGGAUUAGAUACCCGUGUAGUC
rnacentral:rRNA from 1 species